rnacentral:rRNA from 1 species
GACGAACGCUGGCGGCGUGCCUAAUACAUGCAAGUCGAACGCUGAAGGAGGAGCUUGCUUCUCUGGAUGAGUUGCGAACGGGUGAGUAACGCGUAGGUAACCUGCCUGGUAGCGGGGGAUAACUAUUGGAAACGAUAGCUAAUACCGCAUAAUAGUAGAUGCUGCAUGACAUUUGCUUAAAAGUUGCAAUUGCAUCACUACCAGAUGGAGCUGCGUUGUAUUAGCUAGGUGGUGGGGCAACGGCUCACCAAGGCGACGAUACAUAGCCGACCUGAGAGGGUGAGCGGCGACACUGGGACUGAGACACGGCCCAGACUCCUACGGGAGGCAGCAGUAGGGAAUCUUCGGCGAUGGACGGAAGUCUGACCGAGCAACGCCGCGAGAGUGAAGAAGGUUUUCGGAUCGUAAAGCUCGGUUGUAAGAGAAGAACGAGUGUGAGAGUGGAAAGUUCAGACUGUGACGGUAUCUUACCAGAAAGGGACGGCUAACUACGUG